UACGUAGGGAGCGAGCGUUGUCCGGAUUUACUGGGUGUAAAGGGUGCGUAGGCGGCUCUGUAAGUCGGGCGUGAAAGGUGUGGGCUUAACUCACAAACUGCGUUCGAAACUGUGGAGCUUGAGUGAAGCAGAGGCAGGCGGAAUUCCCGGUGUAGCGGUGAAAUGCGUAGAGAUCGGGAGGAACACCAGUGGCGAAGGCGGCCUGCUGGGCUUUAACUGACGCUGAGGCACGAAAGCAUGGGUAGCAAACAGGAUUAGAUACCCUGGUAGUCCAUGCCGUAAACGAUGAUUACUAGGUGUGGGGGGUCUGACCCCCUCCGUGCCGGAGUUAACACAAUAAGUAAUCCACCUGGGGAGUACGGCCGCAAGGUUGAAACUCAAAGGAAUUGACGGGGGCCCGCACAAGCAGUGGAGUAUGUGGUUUAAUUCGAAGCAACGCGAAGAACCUUACCAGGUCUUGACAUCCAACUAACGAAGCAGAGAUGCAUUAGGUGCCCUUCGGGGAAAGUUGAGACAGGUGGUGCAUGGUU
rnacentral:rRNA from 1 species